rnacentral:lncRNA from 1 species
CCCGGCCGUCCCCGCCGCUAGCUCCGCGCCGAGCCGAGCUCCCGCCCGCCGCCUCCCCAUCUCCGCGGCGCGCACAUCCGCAGACACGCGGCGACACCCGCCGCCAGCAGCCGCCGCCGCCACAUCACAUGCGACCGCCGGGAGAUUACAUGAGAGAGAGCUGGGGGAGCUUUGCCUUCUCGCUCGUCCGGCGACCGCCGCCCUGAUGUCCCUCCCCGAGGAUGGCUUUCCCCUUCUUCUUCCUCCCCCGGCCCCCUGCAGCCCGCGGGGAGGCUGAGUCGGGGUCGAGCCCGUAGGGCAGGGGCAGCCCCCGGACAAAGCGGUCCCCGCGCCGCGGCUCUGGCAACAGCUCGUUUGCAGGAGGAAACCGGGGAGCAGCCCCUGGAGGAGCAGGGAAUCCCUCAGCCCUUUGUGCGGCGCCAGCCUGGCUGUUUGCUGCCGGAACGAGACCAACUCUUGGAUCUGAAUAUGACUGACUUGAACAGCUGUUCGCAAGCUUGACUUCCUGCUUUUCAGAAUUACUGUUAGGCCCAGUCCUAAUAAGCCUUGGAAAUUUAAAAAAAAACUAAAUAAUCUCACUUGAGACUGCACUUUGCUGAAACACUUUUGUCCCGGUUACCAAAUCUUAAACUUAGUCUGGAUGUCUCAUAGCUGCAGAUAGGAAAAGAGCUCCUUACCUUAGUUAACGUUGAGCCCUCCUUCAAUGGGAGACUUUUUAGCCUAGUCUUUUGUGAGACAGUAGGAAACCACAAAAUUCAAGGUAUUGGAGUUUGGUAAUGUUGAAGGCUUCCCGUGAAGAGACUUAGCAGUUGUGUGUAUUUCUUACUAUAUACAAUACACUAGUUAAAACCGAAGGAUGCAGGAACUCAUUGGCAGAACCAGGCCAGUAUCUUGAAAACAAGGCAGCUCUUCUUCUGUACUGGACUUUACUUAACUGUAACUUUGGGUCUCUGAUUCAGUGCUUAGAUUCCAUUAGUAGAUUCAAGCUCUGAACUCAAAUUUGGUGGUUAGGCCUAGAUCUGUGGUUAUAGUUUUGAUGUGCUUUCAUUAAAAAUGAAAACAAAUCAUGGGUUUAUCAUCUUACACCACUGCUUUGGAGUUUCAAAGAAAGAGUUAUAUUAACGGGUCUAACUGUACUUGUUAGAAGCCACAGUUAAAGACUGAGACUCCAUUGUGCUAGGUGCUAUUCAAAUACUGAACAAAAGACAGUCCAUUUUGCUGGAGGCAGUGAUAAUUGGCAUAAAGCAGGGAGAGAUAAGAAGACUGAAGAAGACAGUGUCUUCAAAACAGUACAAAAACUCUCACCAGUGUUUUGGGUCUUAUGAUUUUGACAGCCUCUUUUGAAAAGAAAGCGAAGUAAAAAUCUCACCCACAAUUUCACAACAUGUUGUAAUGAAAUUGUGAAAGCCCCUUUCAAAUAGUGAAUUAAAAGUUAGGAGUCCUGG